UAGUCCACGCCCUAAACGAUGCUUACUCGAUGUUUGGUUUUAGGACUGAGCAUCCAAGGGAAACCAUUAAGUAAGCCACCUGGGGAGUACGUUCGCAAGAAUGAAACUCAAAGGAAUUGACGGGGGUCCGCACAAGCGGUGGAGUAUGUGGUUUAAUUUCGAUGAUACGCGAGGAACCUUACCUAGGCUAUAAUGUGAGCGCCCGGUCCUGAAAGGGACCUUUCUUUCGGAACGCGAAACAAGGUGCUGCAUGGUUGUCGUCAGCUCGUGCCGUGAGGUGUUGGGUUAAGUCCCGCAACGAGCGCAACCCCUAUCUUUAGUUGCUAACAUUAAGUUGAGGACUCUAGAGAGACUGCCGGCGUAAGCCGCGAGGAAGGUGGGGACGACGUCAAAUCAUCAUGGCCUUUAUGCCUAGGGCAACACACGUGCUACAAUGGCAGGUACAGAGGGUUGCGAAGGGGUGACCUGGAGCUAAUCUCAGAAAGCCUAUCCCAGUUCGGAUUGGAGUCUGCAACUCGACUCC
rnacentral:rRNA from 1 species